GCAGCUCACUGAGAGCAGUUGGGGGGGGAAAAUUUGUAUGGAAAACAAACUAAGAUGUCUUCUCAACAUAAAAUGAAUUACUUCCAAUCAUUGAUAUAAAGACGAGAUGGUAGUCAGCUGGGUACUGACUGGAAAAGGACUGGAUUGUUGUCGAAAGCUACAAGGGAUUUGAGGUUAAAACACAUGAUUAAAGAGGUCAUAGUGAGCAUCUUGGCAGCUUUAAGGACUUAAUAGACUGCAGGCUGAAUGCUGAAUGAUAUAUGACAAGAGCAGGCAGAGUCGGCAAGAUCAGCAGAAUGGGAAGAGAGCAGGCGGCGUUCACAGAAAAGGCAAUGAUCUUUUUUUUUCCUAGGAGAAGAAAAUCACGACUCUGGAUAUGAGGUUGAAAGGAUAUAUUUAAAAAAAAGGGACUGUGUAAAAAGGCAAAUUAUCUUUCACAUCAUGACAUAGCACUUCCAGCAGAGCUUGUUCUGCUGCAGAAAAUCAUUGGAUCUGUGUAUCUUCUGGGUGAGCUGGGCUGGAACAAGGGGUUGGCAGUUGAGGCAUCUGUCUAUGGCACAACUAUUUUUGGGGAAGGGGGUGAGCAUAAUUACAGAAAAUGUUUAUUACAGUUUUAUUGCCCAAAUCAAAUGAACUGUCAGUUAGCCCAAUUGUAGGUAUUGGCAGUAACUGGGCAAACACCUUACGGAGCCAUAAGAAAUUUACAGCAUUUCUAUUCCUCAGCUCAAGCAGGGAAAUAUAAUAAGGCAGGCAGAAAGAAACAUCAAAAGGGAUCUGUUUGUGUGCGAGCAAGCAGAACCCCACAACCACCUUCUGUGGGAUUCCAUGAGAAAUAACAUUUCAAUUGAAAUAUCCCUUAGAAACAUUUGUUUCAAUAUAAAGUU